UGUAAGGACAUGUAUGACAGCAAAAACAAGCAAUAAUAGAGCAGCUAGCAAAAGAACAUUGAAUUAUUCAAUGUCAGUCAGUCAGAGCCAAGUAGCAAAGCCAUCAACAACAGCCAAACACACACACAGGCGCACACACACACACACACACUGCCGGGCAGCUUGCUUUGCCUCGUCACUCAACCACAAGUCCAGGCGCGUUGGUGGCAAACCUCCUGCAAUUCAAAUAAAACACUCGUCAUAAAGCACAUGCCGUCUGCCAUUCACGCAGCAAACGCGCAUUGUGUGUGCGCUGCUCGCGCUGGUGCUGGUACUGGUACUGAUGCAGAGCGCAGCAUUUGUGUGUGCAUCUUUUAGGCGCUCUCCGCAGUUGUAGCCAAAGAUAUGUGUAAUUACAUGAAGCCAGCCACAUAUGUAUAUGCAUGUAUGAGUGUGUGUGUGUAUGCUUGUUGUUGCAUUUGCUUUAGCUGCCCACAAAGCCGCAAGCUCGCCUGGGCGUUUUGUGUAGUUGAUUGGAGGCGACGGCGCCUAAACAACCGCUGGGCGAGCGCAAGCUACGCUGUGGGGAGCGUUCAAAGGUGAAGUGUAUGCUGACGCUUACCGUUAUGCCUACACACAAACACACGCAAGAAGCAGCAUUAUGCAAAGGAAACACAAAAAUAACAAAAAACAACAAAACUUAGCAUAGCAGCGGACGCAGUGGGCGUCUGUAGCGAAUUGGCGAAAAAACAUUAACUGCAGCGCAAAAAACGUUCACAACAACAACAAAUACAAUGCGACCCAGCGACAGCAGGCGAGAGCGCAACGACAGGGUGCACACAAAGAACUUUGAAAGCACGACGAGAGUCGAUAGCGGAAACUCCUUUUUAUGGCUGCGAACACAAAUAUACAAACUAUGCAUGUGUGUGUGUUUACAACUGUCCAUGUGUGUGUGUGUGUGUGCGUUUGCAUAGUUGUGCAUGUGCUGCAUUGGCAGCCAGCCAAUACAAGUUCAGUGUGGCACCUAAAAACCAAAAAUAUGCAAUGCAGACGCCUAGUUGCACAGCGUGACACACUUAACAGAUGUUAGGGAACGCUCCUCAAUGCUGACCGCUUAAUGUCAUUAAGCUUAAUUAAAGUGGCUGCGAUGGGGUCUAAUGAUUAUAUAUAUGACCGACUUCUGUCAAUAAACAUAUCAAUUGUACUUCUAGUAUUUUUCAAGCAAAUUUCAAUUUUUUUUUAGUCAUGCUUGAACAACUAUUUUAAAAAAGUGUCAAAACGUGACAUAAAACAGACGUC